rnacentral:rRNA from 1 species
CCUUUGUACACACCGCCCGUCGCUACUACCGAUUGAAUGGCUCAGUGAGGCCUUGGGAUUGGCCAGGGGAGGUCGGCAACGACCACUCAGAGCCGGAAACUUGGUCAAACUUGGUCAUUUAGAGG